rnacentral:tRNA from 1 species
GGCGGGGUGCCGGAGCGGUCGAACGGGUCGGUCUUGAAAAUCGAUGUGCCCUUCGGGGCCCGUGGGUUCGAAUCCCACCCCCGCCG